rnacentral:rRNA from 1 species
AAACUAACAAGGAUUCCCCUAGUAACGGCGAGUGAAGCGGGAAGAGCUCAAAUUUGUAAUCUGGCACUUUCAGUGUCCGAGUUGUAAUCUCGAGAAGUAUUUUCCGCGCCGGACUGCAUACAAGUCUGUUGGAAUACAGCGUCAUAGUGGUGAGAACCCCGUAACUGAUGCAGAUGCCCGGUGCUUUGUGAUAUACUUUCGAAGAGUCGAGUUGUUUGGGAAUGCAGCUCAAAUUGGGUGGUAAAUUCCAUCUAAAGCUAAAUAUUGGAGCAAGACCGAUAGCGAACAAGUACCGUGAGGGAAAGAUGAAAAGCACUUUGGAAAGAGAGUUAACAGUACGUGAAAUUGUUGGAAGGGAAACGCUUGAAGUCAGACUUGCUAUUCGGAGUUCAGCCGCAAGGUGUAUUCUUCGAUUUGCAGGCCAGCAUCAGUUUUCGGGGGUGGAAAAUCGUGGUUUGAAGGUAGCAACUUCGGUUGUGUUAUAGCUUUCCACUGGAUUCAUCUUUGGGGACUGAGGAACGCAGUACGCUUUUUGCAAGGCCCUCGGGCUUUUCGUACUUAGGAUGCUGGUGGAAUGGCUUUAA